rnacentral:rRNA from 1 species
GGAUCGGCGUUGGCGUUUUAGGAGGGAACAUCAACGGGGGUAGGUACAGGUGGAGCUGGGCUAGUGGCGAGGGCGGUCGGCUGGGGCUCCGUCUCUCUAGUGGCCGGGUCCAAAUAAAGGGGAAGUUAUGGUAGGGGAUGGGACGGCGGUAGUGGUUUUCAAUUCAAACUAACUCCUGUGGGCCACGGACGUUAGCGGCCUCUUUCUGCCAGUGCUCUUCCUCUUCGGCGACCGGGCGAGGCGUGGCCGCUGCGAGGACGCUUGGAGCGCUUGGUCCCUUCUUCUACACGGCGAUCCUUAGACAAGGCAGGUAGGAGAUGUCCAGUCAAAGAGAUGGGGAAGACAUGUAGGGGAUAAAAACUACCUAAGUGAAUGAACUAGACUAGAGACAAAACCCCCUUCUCCUCUAGUCUCCUACUCUUGGUCUACUAGGCUGAUAUCUUUGACCCUCUUUAGUCUCCGAACGGACGGCACUAAAUAACGAAGAAUAUAGUGCGUCCGCAAUCCCGAGAGGGUUAGAGUAGGAUCUCCUUAUCCUGUGGAACGUACUGGCACUCGCGGCGACGAGUAGAAUCGAACAGUCUAAUCCGGCCAAGUUCGUCACAGAAUCCGUGCGAUGAUAGGUUCCGCCAGAAGCGCGAAGGUGGGAUGUAGGUGUGAUAGGUGGUACAGAGAGGGAUCUACACACCCCUCCUCGUUCGUCCUCCCUUCCUCCUCGUGCGUACUGAGGAGACAGGACAUACAUAAAAGUAAAUACUAUAUAGGUUUUGUCUAAUGAUAUCUAAUCAAGGGUGUUGAUAAAUAAUCUAACCACGAAUAUACUUUUUCUAACUUUGUGGAGCAAAAUUGAACUAACCAAGAGUUUCGGAAAGUAUAUCUAACUUUGUUAGCACAGUCUACCUUCCUAUUAGAUUACAACACGAUAGGACAAAGCUUAACAUCCGGUGUACUAGUAAAACACUCGUGGUUUGUACGUCACGAACUACGAAUAUAUAUAUAUUUUCGCAUCUUUUUAUUAGAGAAUUCGAUAGUACCAAAAGUGUUAUAUUACAAGUCAAAACUCAAUUCUAUGUGAAAGCAUGACGAUCGGUUAGAAAAAUCUCGAACAGUGAGGUAUUUGAUUUUGAACACUUAAGCUAACAGUUUAUAAAGAAAACUCCCGGUAGUUGUGGUUUUAAACAAGUAUCAAUAAGUCCACGUGAUAAUCAAUAUAUACAAUCCGUUUAGAGGGAGCCACCUCUAGGACGUCAUGAUAUUAAAACAUCGAAGGAACAUUACAUAUUCUAGUGCUAUAUGUGGUGUAAGUCAACGUUCCUGCUACCGCUACUUUCAACUGUUCCAUGAACUUUCUGAUGGACCUUCCUUCUUUUUCUACUGGCACCAUUCGGUAAGACUCGACUUCACAAGAUAAAAAGAAUAGUUGUUGAGGAGUUUUACGGUACGGUAUGGUUAAGUCUCCAAAAACUGGGACUAUUUACAUAAUAAUAAGAUAAGAUAACCGGUAAUACUUCCUACGUAUGACUUUUUUAAGUUAUCUUCCGUGUAAAAACGUUCAGUAACUGUCAGAUAUAAAAAAAAUUCAACCUUCUCACACAGUAACUGUGGGAAUUAGACUCCUGAUGUGAAACGUAUAACUGAACUAUGUACGUGACAAAAAUUAAUGGUAAAGAUGGCAAAGAGUCUAAAACUUGCACUUUAGUCCUCUUUACAAGAACCCUAAGAACGGUUUACUCAUUAGGAUGAAUUAUACGAAAACAAUAAGCUUUGGAUAAUGUCGCCAGUCAGUACUCGUAUCCCGUAACGACGUAAAAUAAACCUACACAUGUUUAAAAAGUAUUAUGGUGGGAAAUAAAACGUAGUAAGUAAAGCAGGUCAAACCAGGAGUGUAUACAAGUAGAAUGACAAGUAAUCUACCACAAGCUGGAAUUCUCGACCACUAAAGACAUGUACGUGACUUGGUUGCUUUCAACAGUAUCUAAAACAUCGAAAAUGAACCAUUCUUGAUUCUUAUUACAUGUGAGCAUGAACGAAUUAAAAAUUUAUCAAUUCAAACAUUACAUGUACUUGUUCACAUCGGUGUACUGAGUGAAUUAUGAGAAAGACUAGGUCUUAUUCACAGUCUAAACUUGAUUCCUAUUUGAUUGGAAUCAAGUUUUAACGUUAUGCAUAAAACCUAGCCUCUCUCAUCAUAAAUCG